rnacentral:rRNA from 1 species
CCUAAUUCGUUGGUGUCUUGACGUUACCCCUACAGAAUAAGCCCCGGCUAACUCUGUGCCAGCAGCCGCGGUAAUACAGAGGGUGCAAGCGUUAAUCGGAAUUACUGGGCGUAAAGCGCGCGUAGGUGGUUUGUUAAGUUGGAUGUGAAAUCCCCGGGCUCAACCUGGGAACUGCAUUCAAAACUGACAAGCUAGAGUAUGGUAGAGGGUGGUGGAAUUUCCUGUGUAGCGGUGAAAUGCGUAUAUAUAGGAAGGAACACCAGUGGCGAAGGCGACCACCUGGACUGAUACUGACACUGAGGUGCGAAAGCGUGGGGAGCAAACAGGAUUAUAUCCCCUGGUAGUCCACGCCGUAAACCAUGUUACUAUCCGUUGGGACCCUUGAGCUC